AGUGAACGCUGGCGGUAGGCCUAACACAUGCAAGUCGAACGGCAGCACAGUAAGAGCUUGCUCUUACGGGUGGCGAGUGGCGGACGGGUGAGGAAUACAUCGGAAUCUACUUUUUCGUGGGGGAUAACGUAGGGAAACUUACGCUAAUACCGCAUACGACCUACGGGUGAAAGCAGGGGAUCUUCGGACCUUGCGCGAUUGAAUGAGCCGAUGUCGGAUUAGCUAGUUGGCGGGGUAAAGGCCCACCAAGGCGACGAUCCGUAGCUGGUCUGAGAGGAUGAUCAGCCACACCGGAACUGAGACACGGUCCAGACUCCUACGGGAGGCAGCAGUGGGGAAUAUUGGACAAUGGGCGCAAGCCUGAUCCAGCCAUACCGCGUGGGUGAAGAAGGCCUUCGGGUUUUAAAGCCCUUUUGUUGGGAAAGAAAAGCAGCAGGUUAAUACCCCGCUGUUCUGACGGUACCCAAAGAAUAAGCACCGGCUAACUUCGUG
rnacentral:rRNA from 1 species